rnacentral:rRNA from 1 species
CGCGAUUGGAUGAACCUAGGUGGGAUUAGCUAGUUGGUGAGGUAAUGGCUCACCAAGGCGACGAUCCCUAGCUGUUCUGAGAGGAUGAUCAGCCACACUGGGACUGAGACACGGCCCAGACUCCUACGGGAGGCAGCAGUGGGGAAUAUUGCACAAUGGGGGAAACCCUGAUGCAGCCAUGCCGCGUGUGUGAAGAAGGCCUUCGGGUUGUAAAGCACUUUCAGUAGGGAGGAAAGGGUGUAGUUUAAUACGCUAUAUCUGUGACGUUACCUACAGAAGAAGGACCGGCUAACUCCGUGCCAGCAGCCGCGGUAAUACGGAGGGUCCGAGCGUUAAUCGGAAUUACUGGGCGUAAAGCGUGCGCAGGCGGUUUGUUAAGCGAGAUGUGAAAGCCCUGGGCUCAACCUAGGAAUAGCAUUUCGAACUGGCGAACUAGAGUCUUGUAGAGGGGGGUAGAAUUCCAGGUGUAGCGGUGAAAUGCGUGGAGAUCUGGAGGAAUACCGGUGGCGAAGGCGGCCCCCUGGACAAAGACUGACGCUCAUGCACGAAAGCGUGGGGAGCAAACAGGAUUAGAUACCCAGGUAGUCCACGCCGUAAACGAUGUCUACUCGGAGUUUGGUGUCUU